UGAUCUGCCUACUUCAGCCUCCCAAAGUGCUGGGAUUACAGAUGUGAGCCACCGUGCCCAGUUUGUCCCCUAGUAUUUUAAGUACAGUUGCUGCCUCAUUUGAUUCUCACAAUUCCACGAGGUAGGAACUAUUAAUGUUUCCAUUUUGAAGAUGGGGAAACCGAGGCUUAGAAAGAUUAACUUUUCCAGUGUUCCCCAGUGGUGAUCCUAGGAUUUGUAGCAAAGUCAGCUGGCCCUGAAAUCUGUUCUCUUGGCCACUGUGUUCUGUUGCCUCUGAAUACUAUGCUGUCUUCUCCCUCAGAGUAAAAUACACUCCUUACCUGUUUUUAUAACCCAAAUCAAGAGGUGUUUAUAAUGGCCUCACAUCUGUGAUAUAAACAACAACGGGCUGGAAAGUUUUGGAGAGUCUAAACCAGAUGUGGGAUUAAAGCUGCCCUUGAGGGACAGGAAGGAUUUGAACAGGAACACAAACCCCUGGUGUGAAUUUCACUUUCUGAGGAUCUGAUAUUAGUAAAGAAGUUAAUUUGGAAAAUGUUGGCUAUCUGAAGAAGACUGACAAAUCGUGAAUGACCUAAUUGGGUCUUGCUGUGUUGCCCAGUGUUGCCCAGGCUGGAGUGCA